UACGAAGGGGGCGAGCGUUAUUCGGAAUCACUGGGCGUAAAGGGCGCGUAGGCGGCUGGGUAAGUUUGGUGUGAAAACGCUACCGCUCAACGGAGCGAUUGCGCUGAAUACUGCCCAACUUGAGUACGGAAGAGGUGAGCGGAAUACCUGGUGUAGCGGUGGAAUGCUCAGAUAUCAGGUGGAACACCCGUGGCGAAGGCGGCUCACUGGUCCGGUACUGACGCUGAUGCGCGAAAGCGUGGGGAGCAAACGGG
rnacentral:rRNA from 1 species